AUUGAACGCUAGCGGGAUGCCUUACACAUGCAAGUCGAACGGCAGCACGGACUUCGGUCUGGUGGCGAGUGGCGAACGGGUGAGUAAUGUAUCGGAACGUGCUCAGUAGCGGGGGAUAACUACGCGAAAGCGUAGCUAAUACCGCAUACGCCCUACGGGGGAAAGCAGGGGAUCGCAAGACCUUGCACUAUUGUAGCGGCCGAUAUCGGAGUAGCUAGUUGGUGGGGUAACGGCUCACCAAGGCGACGAUCCGUAGCUGGUUUGAGAGGCCGACCAGCCACAUUGGGAAUGAGACACGGCCCAGACUCCUACGGGAGGCAGCAGUGGGGAAUUUUGGACAAUGGGGGAAACCCUGAUCCAGCAAUCCCGCGUGUGCGAUGAAGGCCUUCGGGUUGUAAAGCACUUUUGGCAGGAAAGAAACGUCAUGGGUUAAUACCCCGUGAAACUGACGGUACCUGCAGAAUAAGCACCGGCUAACUACGUGCCAGCCGCCGCCGUAACAC
rnacentral:rRNA from 1 species